GCGCAAGCCAUGACGCGUUUAUUUGGAAUCACCACCCACUUAAAAACCACUUGGAACAACUUCAUCGGGAUCAAAAUGAAACGUUGUGGUUUUUAGGUGAUUCAGGCUAUCCCCUUCGACCGACCCUAAUGACUCCGAUAAUAAAUACCGAACCUGACUCUCCGCAAGAGUACUACACCGAGCUGCAUUGUCGGACUCGGAAUACUGUAGAGAGAUGUAUAGGGGUUCUCAAAUCGCGCUGGCGAUGUCUAUUAGUUGAUAGAAAAUUACAUUACCACCCUAUAACAGCUGGGUUAAUUACAAAUUCGUGUGUAGUUUUACACAACAUUUGUAAUGCAACUAGGUUGCCCUUUUCGCCUUUAUCGCCACAAGAGGAGCAACGUGAAAUAACUCGACAGAUUAUGUCACAUACACAUGUGGAAAGUACCACAAGAAGAAACAACCCAUUAGCUGCUGGGGAAUCGGAGAGGAAUGCACUCGUAGAGAGACUUUGGUCAGCGCGAUCAUCAUGACCUCAUUUUUUUACUCAAAUAGUACUUAAGACACGGGUCUUAACGCGACGUUUAAAAUCUUUUUUUUUUAAAUAGUUUUGUAACCUAAAGUGAACUUACAUUGUUUAACUGGUGGGGCUAUAAUUAUGUAUAGGUUAUUGUGUGAUUUACUAAUCAUAGUUUAU